rnacentral:rRNA from 1 species
AUUGAACGCUGGCGGCAGGCCUAACACAUGCAAGUCGAGCGGAUGAAGGGAGCUUGCUCCUGGAUUCAGCGGCGGACGGGUGAGUAAUGCCUAGGAAUCUGCCUGGUAGUGGGGGAUAACGUCCGGAAACGGGCGCUAAUAUCGCAUCCGUCCUGAGGUAGAAAGUGGGGGAUCUUCGGACCUCCAGCUAUCAGCUGAGCCUAGGUCGGAUUAGCUAGUUGGUGGGGUAAAGGCCUACCAAGGCGACGAUCCGUAACUGGUCUGAGAGGAUGAUCAGUCACACUGGAACUGAGACACGGUCCAGACUCCUACGGGAGGCAGCAGUGGGGAAUAUUGGACAAUGGGCGAAAGCCUGAUCCAGCCAUGCCGCGUGUGUGAAGAAGGUCUUCGGAUUGUAAAGCACUUUAAGUUGGGAGGAAGGGCAGUAAGUUAAUACCUUGCUGUUUUGACGUUACCAACAGAAUAAGCACCGGCUAACUUCGUG